rnacentral:rRNA from 1 species
UCCUACGGGAGGCAGCAGUGAGGAAUAUUGGUCAAUGGAGGCAAGUCUGAUCCAGCCAUGCCGCGUGAAGGAAGACUGCCCUAUGGGUUGUAAACUUCUUUUAUACAGGAAGAAACCUUUCUACGUGUAGAAACCUGACGGUACUGUAAGAAUAAGGACCGGCUAACUCCGUGCCAGCAGCCGCGGUAAUA